rnacentral:rRNA from 1 species
GACGAACGCUGGCGGCGUGCCUAAUACAUGCAAGUAGGACGCAGUUGCGAACGGGUGAGUAACGCGUUGGUAACUGCCUAUUAGAGGGGGAUAACUAUUGGAAACGUUCGCUAAUACCGCAUACUAGUAGAUGGACCCGCGUUGUAUUAGCUAGUAGGUAGGGUAAUGGGCUACCUAGGCGACGAUACAUAGCCGACCGGAGAGGGCGAUCGGCCAGAAUGGGACUGAGACACGGCCCAGACUCCUACGGGAUGCAGCAGUAGGGAGUCGUCGGCAAUGUGGGGAACCGUGAGCGAGCAACGCCGCGUGAGUGAGGAAGGUUUUCGGAUCGUAAAGCUCUGUUGUUAAGGAAGCGGUACUUAACCAGAAAGGGACGGCUAACUACGUGCCAGCAGCCGCGGUAAUUC